GGGUCGAUGCCCGAGUGGUUAAAGGGGGCGGAUUGUAAAUCCGCUGAUUUUAUCUACGCUGGUUCGAAUCCAGCUCGGCCCA